rnacentral:rRNA from 1 species
UGUUUAUAGAAUUUAUUAUAAAUAAAACCUGCUCAAUGCCUAUGUAAAUUGCCGCAGAAAUAUUACUGUGCUAAGGUAGCAUAAUCAUUUCCCUUUUAAUUAAAGGCUAGAAUGAAUGGUUUAACAUUUAAAUAACUUUUUUUCAUUACCCAACUUAAAUUAAACUAAUAAUUAAAAUAUUAUUUUAAAUAAAAAAGACGACAAGACCCUAUCAAACUUAACUUAAGUUUAACUGGGGCAGUUAAUUAAUUUCAAUUUUAAUUUAAAUUUUUAAAUAAAAGAUCCAAUCAAAUUGAAUAAAUAAACAAGUUACUGUAGGGAUAACAGCAUAAUAUUUUUCUAAAGCUCAUAUUAAAAAAAAAAAUUAUGACCUCGAUGUUGAAUUAAUUUAUUAUAAAAUGCAAAAAUUUUAUUAAUAGGUCUGUUCRACCUUUAAAUAAUUACA